UCCGGUUUGUCACCGGCAGUCUCCCUAGAGUUCCCGACCGAAUCGCUGGCAAAUAGGGACAAGGGUUGCGCUCGUUACGGGACUUAACCCAACAUUUCACAACACGAGCUGACGACAGCCAUGCAGCACCUGUCUCUGCGCUCCCGAAGGCACCCCUUCGUCUCCGAAGGGUUCGCAGGAUGUCAAGGGUAGGUAAGGUUCUUCGCGUUGCAUCGAAUUAAACCACAUGCUCCACCGCUUGUGCGGGCCCCCGUCAAUUCAUUUGAGUUUUAACCUUGCGGCCGUACUCCCCAGGCGGUCGACUUAUCGCGUUAACUGCGCCACAAAGUCCGCGAAGGACCCAACGGCUAGUCGACAUCGUUUACGGCGUGGACUAC
rnacentral:misc_RNA from 1 species